UACGUAGGGGCCAAGCGUUGUCCGGAUUUAUUGGGCGUAAAGAGCUCGUAGGCGGCUUGUCGCGUCGUCCGUGAAAACCUGCAGCUCAACUGCAGGCUUGCGGUCGAUACGGGCAGGCUGGAGUUCGGUAGGGGAGACUGGAAUUCCUGGUGUAGCGGUGAAAUGCGCAGAUAUCCGGAGGAACCCCAGAGGCGAAGGCGGCAUCCUGGCCCACGACUGACACUCAGACACGACAGCAUGGGGAGCGAACGGG
rnacentral:rRNA from 1 species